AGUCACGACGCAUAUCAAUAAGCGGAGGAAAAGAAACCAACAGGGAUUGCCCCAGUAACGGCGAGUGAAGCGGCAAGAGCUCAAAUUUGAAAGCUGGCUCCUUCGGGGUCCGCAUUGUAAUUUGUAGAGGAUGCUUCGGGAGCGGUCCCCAUCUAAGUGCCCUGGAACGGGACGUCAUAGAGGGUGAGAAUCCCGUAUGGGAUGGGGUGUCCGCGCCCGUGUGAAGCUCCUUCGACGAGUCGAGUUGUUUGGGAAUGCAGCUCUAAAUGGGUGGUAAAUUUCAUCUAAAGCUAAAUAUUGGCCGGAGACCGAUAGCGCACAAGUAGAGUGAUCGAAAGAUGAAAAGCACUUUGAAAAGAGAGUUAAAAAGCACGUGAAAUUGUUGAAAGGGAAGCGCUUGCGACCAGACUCGCUCGCGGGGUUCAGCCGGCAUUCGUGCCGGUGUACUUCCCCGCGGGCGGGCCAGCGUCGGUUUGGGCGGUCGGUCAAAGGCCCUCGGAAGGUAACGCCCCUAGGGGCGUCUUAUAGCCGAGGGUGCAAUGCGACCUGCCUAGACCGAGGAACGCGCUUCGGCUCGGACGCUGGCAUAAUGGU
rnacentral:rRNA from 2 species